UACGGAGGGUGCUAGCGUUGUUCGGAAUUACUGGGCGUAAAGCGCGCGCAGGCGGUCACCAGCAUCGGUGGUGAAAGCCCCCCGCUCAACGGGGGAGGGUCCAUCGAGAUGGGGUGACUGGAGGCAGGGAGAGGCCAGUGGAAUUCCGGGUGUAGUGGUGAAAUGCGUAGAGAUCCGGAGGAACACCAGUGGCGAAGGCGGCUGGCUGGACCUGACCUGACGCUGAGGCGCGAAGGCGUGGGGAGCGAACGGG
rnacentral:rRNA from 1 species